UUCAGUUAGCAUAUGGGCUAAAUUGAUCAUGAAAUGUUGUCAUUCUGAGAACAUCUUGCCAGUUUGUCAUCAACAGAAUCCCCUGAGACAAACACAACCACGACUGCUCCCAACACUGACCAUCCACACAACCCUAACACCGACAAGAGUUUGGAUACAGAAGAGUGAAUUUUCUUUCUUCUUCUUCUUCUUCUCAUAGUUCUUACUACAACAAUUCACUAUUAAAUAAUUUAACCAUUUAAAAUACUCAACUAUUUAACUCUUUGGUCAUUCCAAUUGUCAGUUAUCAACUGCCUACUAUUUUAAACCUCCACCUAGCAACCAUUGAAAUAGAGCAUCUAUGUCAGUUUCCAUAACAGCCAACAUGAUUACCCUGGCAUUGCAUGAAUCAUAUUCACCUCAGCAAAACCAUUGGCUGAGGUGGUAGUACUAGCCGGUGUUGUUGCAUCUGUGCUGAUGGUGCUUUGUGCUGCUGUAGUGGGUCUGGUCCGGUGGACAUGUGUAAAGAGAGGAGCACCUCAGCAAGCUGGAGCUGACGCCAUCUCAGCC